GCAUAUCAAUAAGCGGAGGAAAAGAAACUAACAAGGAUUCCCCUAGUAACUGCGAGUGAAGCGGGAAAAGCUCAAAUUUGAAAUCUGGCAGUCUAUUUUUUCUUCUUUGGCUGUCCGAGUUGUAAUCUAGAGAAGUGCUUACCUGCACUGGACCAUGUAUAAGUCUCCUGGAAUGGAGCGUCACAGAGGGUGAGAAUCCCGUCUUUGACAUGGACCGCCAGUGUGUUGUGGUGUGCUCUCAAAGAGUCGAGUUGUUUGGGAAUGCAGCUCUAAAUGGGUGGUAAACUCCAUCUAAAGCUAAAUAUUGGCGAGAGACCGAUAGCGAACAAGUACCGUGAGGGAAAGAUGAAAAGGACUUUGGAAAGAGAGUUAAACAGUAUGUGAAAUUGUUGAAAGGGAAACGCUUGAAGUCAGUUAUGUCGGCUAGGGAUCAACCUAGCUCUUUUGCUGGGUGAAUUUCCUAUUCUGACAGGCCAACAUCAGUUUUGACUGCUGGAAAAGAGCAGGGGGAAUGUGGCACCUUCGGGUGUGUUAUAGCCCUUUGUCAUAUGUGGCAGUCGGGACUGAGGGAUGCAGCGUGCCGCGAGGCUGGGUUUCGACCACGUUCACGCUUAGGAUGUUGGCUUUUAAUGGCUUCAAUCGACCCGUCUUGAAACACGGACC
rnacentral:rRNA from 1 species